AUGAGUUGCAUCGGCUGGAACUGCCGGGGGCUUGGGAACCCCGAGGCAGUUCGAGAACUUCGCAGCAUUGUGAAGUUGGAAGGGCCCGCUCUUCUUUUUGUCAUGGAAACGAAAAAUAGAGCUAAAAGAGUAGAAGAUUUGCAUAACAGUUUGGGUUUUGCUGGUUGUUUUGCUGUAGACAGUGCAGGUCUUAGCGGCGUCAUUGGUCUGUUUUGGUCCCGUGAUGUGUCAGUUGAACUA
rnacentral:rRNA from 1 species